rnacentral:rRNA from 1 species
UACGUAGGGGGCUAGCGUUGUCCGGAAUCAUUGGGCGUAAAGAGCGUGUAGGCGGCCCGGUAAGUCCGCUGUAAAAGUCAAAGGCUCAACCUUUGAAUGUCAGUGGAUACUGCCGGGCUAGAGUCCGGAAGAGGCGAGUGGAAUUCCUGGUGUAGCGGUGAAAUGCGCAGAUAUCAGGAGGAACACCUAUUGCGAAGGCAGCUCGCUGGGACGUAACUGACGCUGAGACGCGAAAGCGUGGGGAGCAAACAGG